GGAAGGGAAUCGCCUCCGGUGGGGCGGCCGGGCUUCAAACCCGGUUGGGGUCGUCAGACGGCUCCGGGUAGGUUCGACUCCUACUCUCUUCCGCCA
rnacentral:tRNA from 1 species